ACGCUGGCGGCACGCCUAAUACAUGCAAGUCGAACGAAGUAGCAAUACUUAGUGGCAGACGGGUGAGUAACAUGUAGGUAUCUUCCCUUUGGUGAGGAAUAACACGAGGAAACUUGUGCUAAUACCUCAUAAGUCUUUACGGAGAAAGCUUUAUGCGCCAAUGGAUGAGCCUGCACUUGAUUAGUUUGUUGGUGGGGUAAUGGCCUACCAAGACAAUGAUCAAUAGCUGAUUUGAGAGGAUGAUCAGCCACAUUGGGACUGAGACACGGCCCAAACUCCUACGGGAGGCAGCAGUAGGGAAUCUUGCACAAUGGGGGAAACCCUGAUGCAGCGAUGCCGCGUGAGUGAAGAAGGCCUUUGGGUUGUAAAGCUCUUUCGUCGGGGAAGAAAAUGACUGUACCCGAAUAAGAAGGUCCGGCUAACUUCGUGCCAGCAGCCGCGGUAAUACGAAGGGACCUAGCGUAGUUCGGAAUUACUGGGCUUAAAGAGUUCGUAGGUGGUUAAAAAAGUUGGUGGUGAAAUCCCAGAGCUUAACUCUGGAACUGCCAUCAAAACUUUUUAGCUAGAGUAUGAUAGAGGAAAGCAGAAUUUCUAGUGUAGAGGUGAAAUUCGUAGAUAUUAGAAAGAAUACCAAUUGCGAAGGCAGCUUUCUGGAUCAUGACUGACGCUGAGGAACGAAAGCAUGGGUAGCGAAGAGGAUUAGAUACCCUCGUAGUCCAUGCCGUAAACGAUGUGUGUUAGACGUUGGAAAUUUAUUUUCAGUGUCGCAGCGAAAGCAAUAAACACACCGCCUG
rnacentral:rRNA from 1 species